rnacentral:lncRNA from 1 species
CUUGAAUCUGGGCUUGGCCACCGGGACAUUAGCAAACGUGAUGCAAGCAGGGGCUUGAAAAGCACUUGCACAAAAGGAAUUACCCCUUUUUGACAGCGGCUGUAACCCUGAGACCGGUGAUGUGAGCAAGCCUGGGCUGGCCUAAUAGAGAGGCCUUAUGCAGCAGGGCUGAGCCCAGGCAGCAGCCUGCCUAUGUCCAACCAGCCAAUUGCCAGACACGUGAGUGAGGUCAUCUUAGGCCAUCCAGCCCCAUUUAAGACCCUAGAGGACUACAGACACAUGAAUGACUCCAGGGAAGACCAGCAGCAGAACCACUCCGGUGACCUCAGCCCAAAUCGCUGAUCCAGAUUCAUGAGCAAGCCGUUAAGUCUGGCCAUGGUCCUGCAGAGAGAGAAGACCACGAGAAGCAAAAAGCAGCAAGAUGACUGGAAAGAUUCAGGAAUUGGGAGCAGUGAAUAACUCAAAGUGCAGUGGAGGUUGGUGCUGAACAUCAGCAUUAGCUGACAAUUUGUAAAAGAAGCAGUUCCUGGCCAGGUGCCAUGGCUCACGCCUAUAAUCUCAGCACUUUGGGAGACCAAGGAGGGUGUAUCACGAGGUCAAGAGAUCGAGACCAUCCUGGCUAACACAGUGAAACCCUGUCUCUACGAAAAAGAACACAAAAAAUUAGCCAGGUGUGGUGGCACGGGCCUGUAGUCCCAGCUAUUCGGGAGGCUGAGGCAGGAGAAUCACUUUAACCUGAGAGGCGGAGGUUGCAGUGAGCCGAGAUCGAGUCACUGCACUCCAGCCUGGGUGACAGGGCUAGAGUCCGUCUCAUAAAUAAAAUGAAAUAAUAAAAAACAGAUGUUCAAACUCACUGGUAAUCAAUGAAAUGCAAGUUAAAACAAUGAGAUACCAUUUUAUACCUCGCAGAGGGACAAAAAUUAGAGUUAGAAAAUAGCAGGGUGAAAAUUGGAGAAAUGAUCAUCCUUUUGUCUCAUUAUGGGAGUGCAAACUGGUGCAGAUAUUUAAGAAACAAAUGUGGCUGAAUUGGGGAAGUCAAGGAUAUAAGACCCAGCAACCAGCAAUCUCAGCCUGGGUUGGGAGGUGAAUUCUGUACAUCUGAGAGUUCGCCCAUCCACAAGGGGUCGUGUACAAGGAUGUUCACUGCAGAUUUGUUGUAAAAAUGAGGAGGUGGUGUCCAUCACUAAUGGAAUAUUUGGGUGCAUCUCAUGUGCUGCUGCUCAGCGGUAGGACCCAGGAGCGAGGUGGACAGGCAGCGGCCGGAGGAGGUCAGAAAAACAGUGCUGGGGC